rnacentral:rRNA from 1 species
CCACGGAACCGAUGAAGUUGGGUGUGCCCGAAAGGGAACCGUAACACAGGUGCUGCAUGGCUGUCGCCAUCGUCGGUGUCGUGAGAUGUUGGGUUAAGUCCCGCAACGAGCGCAACCCUUGCCAUUAGUUGCUACAUUUAGUUGGGCACUCUAAUGGGACUGCCGGUGACAAACCGGAGGAAGGUGGGGAUGACGUCAAGUCCUCAUGGCCCUUAUGGGUAGGGCUUCACACGUCAUACAAUGGCCCGUACAGAGGGUUGCCAACCCGCGAGGGGGAGCUAAUCCCAGAAAGCGCGUCGUAGUCCGGAUUGUAGUCUGCAACUCGACUACAUGAAGUCGGAAUCGCUAGUAAUCGCGGAUCAGCAUGUCGCGGUGAAUACGUUCCCGGGCCUUGUACACACCGCCCGUCACACCAUGGGAGUGGGUUUCACCAGAAGCAGC